rnacentral:rRNA from 1 species
AGAGUUUGAUCCUGGCUCAGGACGAACGCUGGCGGCGUGCUUAACACAUGCAAGUCGAACGGAAAGGCCCUUCGGGGUACUCGAGUGGCGAACGGGUGAGUAACACGUGGGUGAUCUGCCCUGCACUUUGGGAUAAGCCUGGGAAACUGGGUCUAAUACCGGAUAGGACUACGGGCUGCAUGGUCUGUGGUGGAAAGCUUUUGCGGUGUGGGAUGGGCCCGCGGCCUAUCAGCUUGUUGGUGGGGUGAUGGCCUACCAAGGCGACGACGGGUAGCCGGCCUGAGAGGGUGACCGGCCACACUGGGACUGAGAUACGGCCCAGACUCCUACGGGAGGCAGCAGUGGGGAAUAUUGCACAAUGGGCGCAAGCCUGAUGCAGCGACGCCGCGUGAGGGAUGACGGCCUUCGGGUUGUAAACCUCUUUCAGUGCCGACGAAGCGCAAGUGACGGUAGGCAUAGAAGAAGGACCGGCCAACUACGUGCCAGCAGCCGCGGUAAUACGUAGGGUCCGAGCGUUGUCCGGAAUUACUGGGCGUAAAGAGCUCGUAGGUGGUUUGUCGCGUUGUUCGUGAAAACUCACAGCUCAACUGUGGGCGUGCGGGCGAUACGGGCAGACUUGAGUACUGCAGGGGAGACUGGAAUUCCUGGUGUAGCGGUGGAAUGCGCAGAUAUCAGGAGGAACACCGGUGGCGAAGGCGGGUCUCUGGGCAGUAACUGACGCUGAGGAGCGAAAGCGUGGGGAGCGAACAGGAUUAGAUACCCUGGUAGUCCACGCCGUAAACGGUGGGUACUAGGUGUGGGUUUCCUUCCUUGGGAUCCGUGCCGUAGCUAACGCAUUAAGUACCCCGCCUGGGGAGUACGGCCGCAAGGCUAAAACUCAAAGAAAUUGACGGGGCCCGCACAGCGGCGGAGCAUGUGGAUUAAUUCGAUGCAACGCGAAGAACCUUACCUGGGUUUGACAUGCACAGGAC